rnacentral:rRNA from 1 species
CCUACGGGUGGCAGCAGUAAGGAAUCUUGGGCAAUGGCCGUAAGGCUGAACCAGCCACGUCGCGUGAAGGAAGAAGGAUCUAUGAUUGGUAAACUUCUUUUAUAGGGAAAUAAAGGUGUCCACGUGUUGAUGUUUUCAUGUACCCUAUGAAUACUCAUAGGCUAAGUCCGUGCCGGCAGCCGCGUUAAGACGGAGGAUGCGAGCGUUAUCCGAAUUUAUUGUGUGUAAAGGGUGCGUAGGUUGUUUUUUAAGUCAGCUGUGAAAGUUUGUGGCUCAACCAGAAAGUUGCAGGUGAAACUGGAAGACUUGAGUGUGUGUGAGGAAGGAGGAAUUCGAGGUGUAGCGGUGAAAUGCACAGAGAUAACGCAGAACUCCGAUUGCGAAGGCAGCUUACUAGGCUAUAACUGACACUGAUGUACGAAAGCGUGGGGAUCAAACAGGAUUAGAUACCCGGGUAGUC